UACGUAGGUGGCAAGCGUUGUCCGGAUUUACUGGGCGUAAAGAGCGCGCAGGCGGUCGUUCAAGUCGAGUGUGAAAGCCCCCGGCUCAACUGGGGAGGGUCACUCGAUACUGAUCGACUCGAAGGCAGGAGAGGGAAGCGGAAUUCCCGGUGUAGUGGUGAAAUGCGUAGAGAUCGGGAGGAACACCGGUGGCGAAGGCGGCCAGCUGGCGCUGACCUGACGCUGAGGCGCGAAGGCGUGGGGAGCGAACGGG
rnacentral:rRNA from 1 species